AUUGAACGCUGGCGGCAUGCUUUACACAUGCAAGUCGAACGGUAGCAGGUUAAGCUGACGAGUGGCGAACGGGUGAGUAAUGCAUCGGAACGUGCCCGGUCGUGGGGGAUAACGCAGCGAAAGCUGCGCUAAUACCGCAUACGAUCUGAGGAUGAAAGCGGGGGACCGUAAGGCCUCGCGCGAUCGGAGCGGCCGAUGUCAGAUUAGGUAGUUGGUGGGGUAAAGGCUCACCAAGCCGACGAUCUGUAGCUGGUCUGAGAGGACGACCAGCCACACUGGGACUGAGACACGGCCCAGACUCCUACGGGAGGCAGCAGUGGGGAAUUUUGGACAAUGGGCGCAAGCCUGAUCCAGCAAUGCCGCGUGCAGGAAGAAGGCCUUCGGGUUGUAAACUGCUUUUGUGCGGAGCGAAAAGGCUCUCUCUAAUACAGGGGGCUCAUGACGGUACCGUAAGAAUAAGCACCGGCUAACUACGUGCCAGCAGCCGCGGUAAUAC
rnacentral:rRNA from 1 species